GAUGAACGCUGGCGGCGUGCUUAACACAUGCAAGUCGAACGGAAAGGCCACAGCUUGCUGUGGUACUCGAGUGGCGAACGGGUGAGUAACACGUGGGUGAUCUGCCCUGUACUUCGGGAUAAGCUUGGGAAACUGGGUCUAAUACCGGAUAGGAAUCGCAUGUGGGUGUGUGGUUGGAAAGCUUUUGCGGUAUGGGAUGAGCUCGCGGCCUAUCAGCUUGUUGGUGGGGUAAUGGCCUACCAAGGCGUCGACGGGUAGCCGGCCUGAGAGGGUGUACGGCCACAUUGGGACUGAGAUACGGCCCAGACUCCUACGGGAGGCAGCAGUGGGGAAUAUUGCACAAUGGGCGCAAGCCUGAUGCAGCGACGCCGCGUGGGGGAUGACGGCCUUCGGGUUGUAAACUCCUUUCGUCAGGGACGAAGCGAAAGUGACGGUACCUGGAUAAGAAGCACCGGCUAACUACGUG
rnacentral:rRNA from 1 species